UACGUAGGGUGCAAGCGUUAAUCGGAAUUACUGGGCGUAAAGCGUGCGCAGGCGGUUUUGUAAGUCUGACGUGAAAUCCCCGGCUCAACCUGGGAAUUGCGAUGGAGACUGCAAGGCUAGAAUCUGGCAGAGGGGGGUAGAAUUCCACGUGUAGCAGUGAAAUGCGUAGAGAUGUGGAGGAACACCGAUGGCGAAGGCAGCCCCCUGGGUCAAGAUUGACGCUCAUGCACGAAAGCGUGGGGAGCAAACAGG
rnacentral:rRNA from 1 species